GACGAACGCUGGCGGCGUGCUUAACACAUGCAAGUCGAACGGAAAGGCCCCUUUGGGGGUACUCGAGUGGCGAACGGGUGAGUAACACGUGAGUAACCUGCCCUUGACUUCGGGAUAACUUCAGGAAACUGGGGCUAAUACCGGAUAGGAAUCCUUGCUGCAUGGUGGGGGUUGGAAAGCUUCGGCGGUUUUGGAUAGACUCGCGGCUUAUCAGCUUGUUGGUGGGGUAGUGGCUUACCAAGGCUUUGACGGGUAGCCGGCCUGAGAGGGCGACCGGCCACAUUGGGACUGAGAUACGGCCCAGACUCCUACGGGAGGCAGCAGUGGGGAAUAUUGCACAAUGGGCGGAAGCCUGAUGCAGCAACGCCGCGUGCGGGAUGACGGCCUUCGGGUUGUAAACCGCGUUCAGCAGGGGCGAAGCUUGUGGUGACGGUACCUGCAGAAGAAGCACCGGCUAACUACGUG
rnacentral:rRNA from 1 species